GGGUCAGUAGGUUGGUCGUGCCACCGGUACGUACUGGUCUCACUGAUUCCUCCUUCCUGAAGAACCGUAAUGCCAUUAAUUUGGUGUUGCGGGGAAACAGGACUGUUACUUUGAAAAACUUAGAGUGUUUAAAGCAAGCUAACGCUUGAAUACAUUAGCAUGGAAUAAUGAAAUAGGACGAUCGAUCCUAUUUUGUUGGUUUCUAGGAUUGACGUA
rnacentral:rRNA from 1 species